AGAUAUACACUCUUUACCUCAUUUAUGUCAAACAAUACACAAAGUGCCAAGUAACUGCUUUUUCCUGACCUCUCCAACCCUCUUCAUUCCCGCUGACCCUGUCAUAAAGCUUGCAGACCAAGCAGCUCCUGAAAACAUCCACCAGUCUCCCUAAAGGCCCUCAGGAGGAUCAGGUCAAGCUAUCAGGGGAAGUUGCUCCGUACCAUUAUACAUAUAUUGUAUUUUUUUGUGCUCUCUAAAUUAGAUGUUGUCUUUCCAUAUACAGACAUACAAUGACAUAUUGCCAUGGCCAGAUUAUGCUGUCUCCAAAGAUGUCCCAGGAGGAAGCUUGUGGAUGGCUCAGGACAUCCCUCCCACAACCCAACAGCGACGUGUCCUCAGCCACUGCACCGAGCAGGUCCUGCAACGAAGGAGUUGUGUUUAGUUCUUCCCUCUCUCUUCUUCCAUUCCCAUGUUCCACAGUCACCUAUCUAACCAGCCUCCACAGCUCUGGGAAGAGCAACAGGCAGGGUACCAACGUUUGUGUCCCCGAGAGAGAAGCCUUUCCAAGCAUCACUCCAACCCAGAGAGAGCUGCUGAGUCCCUGCUGAGGGUCUGGGCAAAGCUCCCCACACUGCCAUGCCCACCAUGGGAGCUGUACAAGAAAGGGAAGGCUCUGGCAUUAACAGGAGGAAAAUCAAGCCGCCUACAAAUCGCUACACCUUGAAUAUCCAAACAAACCCACGUCCCAGGCAGUGCUCGGCUGUGCUGGUUUGGGCACGGAGAUUUGUUUGAAAGGAAGGAUAAAGCCGGAUCUCACUUUGUUUCCUUGCUGCCCUAAAUUUCACCUCGCCUUUGAACAGCUUUGCCUCAGCACUCUGAACUUUGCAUAGCUCUUAAAAAUAACGGGAAAACAUCAAAAGAGCCGUUUCCUCGUCCACAGCCCGGAGCGGUCCCUGCUGCUGAACCCCCAGCCCGGGGCGAAGGGACUGAGCGCAGGCACAGGGGCACCGCUUCGGUGACUUAACAGUGACAUCCAGCGGUCACCCGGGUCUCUCUGACAUCAGCCCGCCCGGGAAACUUCGUAAAGCCUCUUUUCUUAUCUAAAAGUCGUCAUAUUUAUGCGUCAGCAAGAGCUGAGCUGGGAGCAAGCUCUUCCCUCCUGCUCGGGAUGCUCUAACUCAGCUGCUCAGCUACAUUAGUCUGUGCCUUCAACUUUUGGUUAAACCUCAGAGUAACAGAUAAUCUUAAUAUCACCCUGGUUUUCCUCACUUUUAUAACCCCCAAGUGUUUGCAGCACAUGAAUAUUAUUCAUAAUUAGGCUGCUAUAAAUGUAAAAAUCAAAACCCUGUGAAACAUCAGACCACAGAAACUUUUCCUUCUACUAGUUAUUACACUAAACACAAAAAUAAGCAGUUUUCAUCUCAAGUUUAACACUACAGGCAUAUUUUUACAUGAUAAUUUGAUUUUCAAAAAAAGUCUAACUGUGAAGUUUAAUGAUACCAAAUGAAGCAGCUUGUCAGUUCAUAUUUAUAUUCAAUUCUGAGCUUUCACAGCUCCCAGUGUGUUUCUUUAGUAUUUUGUUGAAGAUAUUCUGACAGUCUUUCUCAAAACUGUCUCUAGGAAAAGCAGCAUGAAAACCUGCAAAGAAACAAAAAUCUUCCUACACUUCUGGCUCGAGGUUUGGGUGGUUGAGGAGGAGACUUAUUCCCUACGUGCACAUGGGGCUGGUGCUCAAAGGCUCAAAUGCUUGGUUGUUGCUUCUCCUACAAGCCAUGCAAAGUCCUGGAGGAGUCCCCAGAGGUUAAAAAUACAGAAAUCUGCAGGAAGGAAAGGUACAGCCACCUGAGCAUUGCUGAGUCCACACAUGAAGGUCAGGUACUAAUUUUGAGGUUUCCUUCUUCCCUUUCUGUCCCCUUGUCCUGGUUGCACACCCAGGAGAUGAGGUACUUGGCUGUUGAUUUCCAAGUGCUGCUCUCAGCUCCCAGACGGAUGGAGCCUGCCAAGCACAGCUCUGACCUCCUGGGUUACAGGACCUGCCUUACCACAGGUAGCAAAACCUGAGCCAUUAUUCAUCAUCUGUUGCCACACAGUGAAAAAUAAGGGUCACUUCCCUGCUGACAGGGGUUUGUAGAUCUUACUCCUGCCCUCGUCCUAGGUGGGGAUGUGUCACUGAGCCCAGACUUGAUGCUUUAUUUAAAGGAAGAUUUCGUCUCUGGUUCCCACAAAAGCCAUGUGCACUCUGAGUGAGUCUUCUGUUGCUCCCCAAAUCCCUUCUCCUCCUCUCGGCUGGUGUGGCAAAAAAAAAAAAAAAAAGUAGGGUGGAAGGAAAGGAUAUGUCCAAAAUCACAGGCACAUCCCAACCUACAGCCAUGCAAGAUGCUUGCUGAGGGUGAGGAAGGAAAAGGCUGGGGAUGAACCCUGCCUCUCCUAAGUAGAACCUGUUUUGCACUAGGAAUUCAGGGUGAAACCCUUGUGCUGUUGGAGAGCUCAGAUACCUCCUCAAGCUACCCCACUGUCAGUGAAGGUCACCCCAUGUCACAGGCAGUGCAAGCAAUAGUCCCACUGUCAGGAGCCAGAAGAUGUAUUUCUUUUUAAUACAAGUCUCUCCUUAGCUGACAGCUGCAUUUCAUGGUCUCACGGCCACUCCAGAAACAAAAGCAACCUUUUCAUCCCAACAAGCAAGGGUGGAUGACCUCCUUUGAAGCACCUCCUGAUUCAUGAGUGUUAAUUUGCCGUGCUUCUCCUCUUCUCUCCCAGCCACACUGCAGGAGCCAGGGGACAAGGUGACUGGAGGUUGGGUCCAUCCCUCUGCGUGGCCUUGGGCUUGUGAGUACAAAAUCUAUGAGACAAGAAUCUUCUUAAACUUAACCUCCCAAGUUCCGUGGAGGAGAGCCCAUUGCAGUCCUUGUUUCCAUGCAGAGAGGAGACAGAGGAGCUGCUGGGCAGCGCUGGAUUCUCUCCAACGAGGAUGAAAGGAGGUAUCGUGUGAACUAUGCUUGGGGAAUCUGUGCUUGAGAUUUCGCUGCUCGAGCUCUCACAGUCGCCUGCUUCGUUUUGCCAGGUGCUAAAAUCACUUCUGCCCCAUCCUCUGUUGUGAAGGUAUUUGCUGAGAGCUUACAGAUGGGAAGGAAUGGCCAGGUCAGCCAAAACCAUCUUACCUGCACGGUCACCCCAAGCCCUGACCUGUCCUGAUGCUCUGCUGGACCCAUCUUCUUCCCUCUGCCCACCAAACUGCUGAGCAGGAGGUGGCUGAGGGCUGGCAAAGGUCUGUGCUCAGAGCAAGGGACCCCAUCAGCACCCAGGGUGUGGGUGACAGAUUCACAGAAUAUGCUGAGUUGGAAAGGACCCAUCAGGAUCAUCAAGUCCAACUCCUGGCCCUGCACAGGACACUCCAAGAAUGCCACCAUGUGCCUGAGAGCGUUGUCCAAACAAUUCUUGAACUCUGACGGGCCUGGUGCUGUGAUCACUACCCUGAGGAGCCUGUUCUAGUGCUAAACCACCCACUGGGUGAGAAACUUCUUCCUGAUAUCCAAGCUAAACCUCCCCACGAGGUCAUGAGCAGGUGCCUCAGAAGUGGAUGGGUGAAAUAGCACCCAGGAAGGCAUCCCCACUGCUGUGAUGGAUAGAGGAAUAUGAAUUUCCACUCCUAUAGUGACUCCUAGAAUAAGGGUAGUAGAAAAGAACUAAGAGCACCCCAAACCACUGUAGCUUCAUUCAGCUUUGGAAUCUCCACAAUCAGCUACGCUGAGAAGUGUCUUUCUUGCAGCCCAUGUACCACCAGUUUGUAAUGCCCUCCCCUCGCCAGGAAAUUCAGAAAUUUUUUACUGAGUGGAGGGAAAAUUGUAAAGAUCUUUGGAUGUUUUUCUGCCUGAUUAGGAAAAAAACAAUCAGGAGGGCUGUCAGUACAUUUUCACAAACCUGAAUGGUCAUUCCUUGUAUCUUCAUACUCAAGCAUUUGCAGCUUAUUGGAGCCACACACCUUGCAUAUCCGAUGCACAGUCAGCCAACAAGGCUGGAAUAUCAGUUCUAAUCCCAGACAUGUUACAUUUUGUAGAAAGCUUGAUCUAACCCAGAUCUAUGAGAGUUAAACCCUGCUCUGGAUAUUUCCAGAUCAGCAAGCAUUUGGGGUCAAUUUGCACCUUUCAGACUGAAAGCGAAAUUCAGCCUUUUUGCUGGGAGCAUUUUCCCUUGGGCCCUCGGGUACCCCAGUAAGUGCCCCAGCAAAGGGGGGUGCUGGAAGGAGCUUGAGCUUCUGCAUCCUGCUGUUCAAAUGUGUUUUCGUGGUACUUGGACAUUCCAAGCAGGAUCUUCCCACUCCAGGUGCACCAGGGACCCGCUGCACAAGCUCAGGUGUGUGAUGCUCACUCACACCUCUCUGCUUCUCCAAGAUAUAUUUGAGCUCUGUCCAUGGUGUUUGCCCAACAGCGAGGUAUUUGGAUAGCAUUUGAGUUUGCUGUGUUUGAAAUGUUCCCACUCUGCAUAAAUUUGUCAGGACUGAAGAUUAUAUUAUCCAUAAACUCUCAGAGGGGAUUCUCACAGCCAGCCUUCCCUCUCCACACACACUGGAAUGGACUUGCUAAGUGCUCAGACCAGGAACCCUUUCAGGCCAAGUUCAUGAUUCAGUGAACCAGCCCUGAAAUGCAAUUCCAACCCUAAAAGUGAGAUAUGCUUUCAUUUCACUCCCAUAUCUGCAGAGUUUUCUCCUUUUUUAAUCUUUUUUUUUCCUGCCGUGGUGUUUAUGCCCUGAUUGGGCUUUUUCUCCAUUGCAAAGAGUUACCUACCUGAUAAAGGAAAGUCUGGGGGCAGCAUGGAAGAUUCUUAGGAGGUCUUGAAUGUUGCUGGAAGACCUGAGGAGGAACAAUUUAGCUGUCAGAUAAAUCGUUGUAAUAAGUGACCCGACGUUUCUUUCACAUUUGACCAUGUUGCACAGCGAAAAUUGACAAAAUCCUGUUCCAGCUGAAAAUAUUUUCUCCUGGUUGUGUAGCUGGUUAAUCCUUAAAGGUUCUCAGAUUUUCCAUCCCAUAGCAGAGGAGUUCAGCUGUGGCUGUGAGCUCAUUAUUCCCAGCCGGCUGAUGUUAUUAUUCAGCUGCUCUCAUUCCAGGCUAUUGUUCUAGUUCACCUUAAACCAGUUAUACUAAAAACAUCUUUGAGAGUGGCAGUGGCACCAUUUUCUGGGCAGUUGAGGACUUGAAAGCAUGAAAGCCAAAUAGGCAGACGGAGGCAAUCUGCAAAAGUCAGUUCAAAAUCAAUAAGAUGAUACAUUUCAGGUGAGAAGAUGCUGAAUAGUUAUUUUAAAAUGCCUUGGGAUUAGACAAAAUGUACUUCCCAUCCCAUUCAUCUAUAAUAAGUUGUUGGCAAUUUCUGCAUGAUUGAAUUUCAUUUCAUAUCUAGGUUGUAUAUUAAGGUUCACCUGAACCUGCAGGGUUUUUUUUUAGUCCACAGACUAUUUUGAAAAUUUUUAGAGGUUUUUUUUAAAUAAAUGUAUCACACAGAGGGCAACUGGAGCAAAUAGUUCUCUGGGAUGUGGCUCCUGUUAAAGAGCUUUGCUUGUAAAUAGAAUUGCCCUGUUACAGAGGAUGAAAUGCACUAUGUGAGAGGGAAGCCAGAGGAGUUUGCUGUGGGAUGUGAGUGCAAUCCUGACAGCUUCCCUGAGGCUGCAGGAGCAAACCUCAGUUAGUGCUAUCACUGGGUACUCCAGAAAUGUGUGGGCACCUGCACGAAACAGCAUUAUCUGGGGGAGGGAAAGAUAAUAGAAGCUCACUCCCACAGUAACCUAGUUUGCUCCAUGAUUAAUUAUUAAUGAAGAAAAGGUUAGCAAGCUCAGUAAAGAGAAAAUGCAGGUACUUCUUUAUUUAAUUUCCUUCCAGUUAGUUUAGGCAAUAUAUGCACACUGGAGAAAAACUGAAUUUAAGGGGGUUUUUUUCUAUAUCUUUGCCAAACCUUAGUUGAACCUGGUGUACUCGGGAUCUCCUGAAAGAUCUAGGUGUUGUCAUGUGAAUGAGAAGGGCUGAUGUGGUGGUGCAGGCUUGGAGGGCUCAGGGUCAGAGCAUCACAAGGAUAGCAAUAGGUUUCAUCUCCUCCAGAAAGGGCACAGAUCAGGCAUGAGGUGCCUGCAGCUUCCUUGCCUAGUCCUCCCCACCCAGCACAUGGGGC